rnacentral:rRNA from 1 species
AUACGAAGGUCCCAAGCGUUAUUCGGAAUCACUGGGCGUAAAGAGUACGUAGGCGGUUUGGUAAGUCAGGUGUGAAAUCCCGAAGCUCAACUUCGGAACUGCAUCCGAUACUGCCAGACUAGAGUAAUGGAGAGGCAGGUGGAAUUCUCGGUGUAGCAGUGAAAUGCGUGGAUAUCGAGAGGGAGACCAAUGGCGAAGGCAGCCUGCUGGACAUUUACUGACGCUGAGGUACGAAGGCUAGGGGAGCGAAAGGGAUUAGAUACCCCAGUAGUCC